rnacentral:rRNA from 1 species
CAGAGGUCCCAAGCGUUGUUCGGAUUCACUGGGCGUAAAGGGUGCGUAGGUGGUAGGGUAAGUCGGAUGUGAAAUCUCCGAGCUCAACUCGGAAAUGGCAUUGGAAACUACCCUGCUAGAGGGUCGGAGGGGGGACUGGAAUACUUGGUGUAGCAGUGAAAUGCGUAGAUAUCAAGUGGAACACCAGUGGCGAAGGCGAGUCCCUGGACGACUCCUGACACUGAGGCACGAAAGCUAGGGGAGCAAACAGGAUUAGAUACCCUGGUAGUCCUAGCCGUAAACGGUGCAUGUUUGCUGUAAAAGGAAUCGACCCCUUUUGUGGCGUAGCCAACGCGUUAAACAUGCCGCCUGGGAAGUACGGUCGCAAGAUUA